rnacentral:rRNA from 1 species
CCUACGGGAGGCAGCAGUAGGGAAUAUUGGGCAAUGGAGGCAACUCUGACCCAGCCAUGCCGCGUGCAGGAUGAAGGCGUUAUGCGUUGUAAACUGCUUUUAUAUAGGAAGAAAGAGUUCUUGCGAGAACAGUUGACGGUACUAUAUGAAUAAGCACCGGCUAACUCCGUGCCAGCAGCCGCGGUAAUACGGAGGGUGCAAGCGUUGUCCGGAUUUAUUGGGUUUAAAGGGUGCGUAGGCGGUUUAUUAAGUCAGUGGUGAAAGACGGUCGCUCAACGAUUGCAGUGCCAUUGAUACUGGUAGACUUGAGUGAGAUUGAGGUAGCUGGAAUGGAUAGUGUAGCGGUGAAAUGCAUAGAUAUUAUCCAGAACACCAAUUGCGUAGGCAAGUUACUAAGUCUCAACUGACGCUGAGGCACGAAAGUGUGGGUAUCAAACAGGAUUAGAUACCCUGGUAGUCCACACUGUAAACGAUGAUAACUAACUGUUGGCUUUUGGGUCAGUGGUACAGAGAAAUCGUUAAGUUAUCCACCUGGGGAGUACGCCGGCAACGGUGAAACGUCAAAUGAAUUGACGG